AUUGAACGCUGGCGGCAGGCCUAACACAUGCAAGUCGGACGAGCGGCGGACGGGUGAGUAAUGUCUGGGGAUCUGCCUGAUGGCGGGGGAUAACUACUGGAAACGGUAGCUAAUACCGCAUACCAUCAGAUGAACCCAUAUGGGAUUAGCUAGUAGGUAAGGUAACGGCUUACCUAGGCUACGAUCCCUCGCUGGUCUGAGAGGAUGACCAGCCACACUGGGACUGAGACACGGCCCAGACUCCUACGGGAGGCAGCAGUGGGGAAUAUUGCACAAUGGGCGCAAGCCUGAUGCAGCCAUGCCGCGUGUAUGAAGAAGGCCUUCGGGUUGUAAAGUACUUUCAGUCGGGAGGCGUUACCGACAGAAGAAGCACCGGCUAACUCCGUGCCAGCAGCCGCGGUAAUUC
rnacentral:rRNA from 1 species